AAGUCCCGCAACGGGGGCAACCCUUGUUUUUAGUUGCCAUCAUUCAGUUGGGCACUUUAGCAAGACUGCCGGGGACAAACCGGAGGAAGGUGGGGAGGACGUCAAAUCAUCAUCCCCCUUAUGACCUGGGCUACACACGUGCUACAAUGGGAAGUACAACGAGUUGGGAAGUGGGGAGGGUAAGCUAAUCUCUUAAAGCUUCUCUCAGUUCGGAUUGCAGGCUGCAAUUCGCCUGCAUGAAGCCGGAAUCGCUAGUAAUCGCGGAUCAGCACGCCGCGGUGAAUACGUUCCCGGGCCUUGUACACACCGCCCGUCACACCACGAGAGUUUGUAACACCCGAAGUCGGUGAGGUAACCUUUUGGAGCCAGCCGCCUAAGGUGGGAUAGAUGAUUGGGGUGAAGUCG
rnacentral:rRNA from 1 species